CCGGAAGUUCACUAACCCCUCCGUCAUGGCGCACGUUCUUCCUGCGUGCAGGUAGGGGGGAGGGAGCAGUGUAUGUCCACUCCGGCAUUCUCCGCCCUUAGGACGCAAGCGGAUAGAUAACUUCCGCCAACCACCACAGUCCACCAAUGAAAUUCGGAAAUAAGAAAGGCGCCAAUCAUUAGAUCCAAUUAAAGAGAUACACACAUAAUAUACCAUAUGAAGGACAGAUCAGUUCAGGGGUUCAAGAAUUUCCUGGAAGUCACAUUUUGACCGACAGACCGUUCAAUGCCCAAAACAGUUCCAAAGAAU